rnacentral:rRNA from 1 species
GCGUAGGAUGCAAGCGUUGUCCGGAUUUAUUGGGCGUAAAGAGUUCGUAGGUGGUUUGUUAAGUCUGAUGUUAAAGACUGGGGCUCAACCUCGGAAAUGCAUUGGAUACUGGCAGACUUGAGUGUGGUAGAGGCAAUCGGAAUUCCAGGUGUAGCGGUGAAAUGCGUAGAUAUCUGGAAGAACACCGGUGGCGCAAGCGGAUUGCUGGGCCAUAACUGACACUGAGGAACGAAAGCUAGGGGAGCAAAUGGGA